CCCAGAGCGCCGCCGUGGACGAGGCGACGGCGCAGGAGGUGCGGAAGGGGGUGACGCUGCCGUUCGUCGUCGUGGACGCUGUGUGCGGGACCCUUGAUCGCCGUCGGGGCGUGCUCCAUCCUCGUCGGGGGCUUUCAAACUGCACAGAUUCAAGCUUCUCCACAAGCAGACGAAGACCUCGGCCAGCAGCGCAAGCCACGUCCUGAAGGUGAUCCGGCAGGCAGCGGUCCAGGAGCAGCCGGCAGGAGGACCCCUGGCCCGCCUCCUCAACCCCCCGGAGGUCAAGCGAGCGGAGAAAAGCGAGAGUCGAAGUGGCGCCGUUCGCUCGCCCGGCUCGGUCACCCUCAUCCCGAGGGCGGCGGCGGCGGAGUAGGCUCACGGCUGCCCGCGUCCGGCCGCUCCCACGGGCAUCGGGAGGCGCAGCGAAGUGGAAAAUUCGCGAAAGCAGCAAAAGUUGUAGCGGCCGCCAGAGCACAGGCUGCAGCCGGGACGCAGAGCGGAGGCAGCCAGAGCGUUCGCCUUAAGCUUUAACGAGUUCUGUGUUUC